rnacentral:rRNA from 1 species
UACGAAGGGGGCUAGCGUUGCUCGGAAUCACUGGGCGUAAAGGGUGCGUAGGCGGGUCUUUAAGUCAGGGGUGAAAUCCUGGAGCUCAACUCCAGAACUGCCUUUGAUACUGAAGAUCUUGAGUUCGGGAGAGGUGAGUGGAACUGCGAGUGUAGAGGUGAAAUUCGUAGAUAUUCGCAAGAACACCAGUGGCGAAGGCGGCUCACUGGCCCGUACACG